rnacentral:rRNA from 1 species
AACGCUAGCUACAGGCUUAACACGUGCAAGUCGAGGGGAAACGAUAUUGGAAGCUUGCUUCCGAUAGGCGUCGACCGGCGCACGGGUGAGUAACGCGUAUCCAACCUGCCCACCACUUGGGGAUAACCUUGCGAAAGUAAGACUAAUACCCAAUGACGUCUCUAGAAGACAUCUGAAAGAGAUUAAAGAUUUAUCGGUGAUGGAUGGGGAUGCGUCUGAUUAGCUUGUUGGCGGGGUAACGGCCCACCAAGGCAACGAUCAGUAGGGGUUCUGAGAGGAAGGUCCCCCACAUUGGAACUGAGACACGGUCCAAACUCCUACGGGAGACAGCAGUGAGGAAUAUUGGUCAAUGGACGAGAGUCUGAACCAGCCAAGUAGCGUGCAGGAAGACGGCCCUAUGGGUUGUAAACUGCUUUUAUAAGGGAAUAAAGUGAGUCUCGUGAGACUUUUUGCAUGUACCUUAUGAAUAAGGACCGGCUAAUUCCGUGCCAGCAGCCGCGGUAAUACGGAAGGUCCGGGCGUUAUCCGGAUUUAUUGGGUUUAAAGGGAGCGUAGGCCGGAGAUUAAGCGUGUUGUGAAAUGUAGACGCUCAACGUCUGCACUGCAGCGCGAACUGGUUUUCUUGAGUACGCACAAAGUGGGCGGAAUUCGUGGUGUAGCGGUGAAAUGCUUAGAUAUCACGAAGAACUCCGAUUG